UUCAUUUUCAAGUCACCAAAGCAUUCUUUUUUACCGGGCUAAGGAACUGGCCUAUAGGGGCACCCUCUCUUAAAGCCAAUAAGACUUGCUCGCGCUUCCUUCACCUCGAGAACUGCUUUUGAAAGCCCUUAAGUACACGAGCAUUUAGCGGGGAAUAGGACAUGAUUAAUCACUUGCUUUGUUUGUGUCUUUCACCUCCCGAAAAAGACGUUCUUCGAAACAUGUGUGUUGAGCAAGCUGUUUGAUUCUCUUUUAAGCGGGAUCGGGAUGAGGAUUCAGCUUUACAAACUCAAGGGGCCCAUUCAACACUAACAAUAUCCAGAGGCCGGUUGAGAGAAAGCUCUUCCAAGUCUCUC
rnacentral:lncRNA from 1 species